AUUGAACGCUAGCGGGAUGCCUUACACAUGCAAGUCGAACGAAGCGAUUGUGAUUGAGAUUUCGGUUGAUUGAUCAAUUGACUUAGUGGCGGACGGGUGAGUAACGCGUGGGUAACCUGCCUCGUACAGGGGGAUAACAGUUAGAAAUGACUGCUAAUACCGCAUAACCCGCUAGGGCCGCAUGGCCCGGACGGAAAAGAUUUAUCGGUACGAGAUGGACCCGCGUCUGAUUAGCUAGUUGGUGAGGUAACGGCCCACAAGGCGACGAUCAGUAGCCGGCCUGAGAGGGUGACCGGCCACAUUGGGACUGAGACACGGCCCAA
rnacentral:rRNA from 1 species